CAGUCUUUGAAUUAUCUUUAAUUUCAGUUUUCUUCCAGGUUUUCCUUAUUUGUCUGAAUGUCCACAGAGGACACUCAAUAUCUGCUGCAGCAAGAUCAGGAACAAGCAGAGGUGUGUCAGUGAUCGGUUUCAAAGGAGGACCAAUCUGGAGAAAAUCUGCUGGUGAAAACUUCUGCUGUCGUCUGUGAAGUCUGUUGAACAGGGCUUCAAUUUCUUUUUGAUGGUUCUUUUGGUGGUUUUCUUCAUCAAAAGUCCUUUGUUGCUAAUUUGAUGAAGAAAAAACAUUUUGAAAUUAAAAAAAGAAUAAUAGUCUUUUGGUUUAAUGUAUAGAACAAAUGCUUUUCAGUCUUUGUUCUUAAAAAAAAUGCCAAUUAUGCAUUAUUUAAAAAUGUUCUUUUGUAAGAAGUGUUAAAGAAAUUAAGUAUAAAAAGCAUGGAAUUAAAAUAAAGAGAUUGACAAAAUCUUGGAACAAAAAACAAAAACAAAAAGGAAAAACUGAAGUUAGUAGAGAAGAGAAUAAAAAUCUUGCUGAACUUUUU